GGAAGGAGAUCUGUAGCAAACUCAGGGGGUUUCCACACAACAAAUGUGGUUUCAUCAUUACCCCAAGAUACAAUAUGGUCAGUUGUGAAAGCCAUCACUGAAUCAACUAAAGAGUGUUUACUAAAAUUUUAUGCUUUCUUGUUACUCUCCACUUCAUCCACUAAUGCACUAGCAAGUUUUAUAGAACCCUUCUAUGUAUAUGUCUCUCACUAUCUCAUAAUAUAAUUU